rnacentral:lncRNA from 1 species
CCCUGCUUAGCUUGGGAGAUCAGAAGAGAUCAGGAACAUUCAGUGCCUGACAGAGAGCAGGAAUUGAAGAAAUAUUGGCUGAGAAUAAGUAUAUCAAGUUCUGCAAUCAACAUUUAUCUCAUUGUAUUAUGUACACAUACAUGCCCCCCUUACUCAUUAUUCUGCACCUGUGGAUGGAGGUGCAUCCACCAAGAAGGGCAAUCCAGAAACCCAUGCAUCUCUGUUAGAUUUUUCUCUAUUCUGUGAUGCUACAGUAAGUUGUGUUUUUCUUUUAGAUUAUUUAAUUAUUUCUUAAUUUUAGAUAUAACUGACUUUCAGAUAUAAAUUUUAUCCAGUAACCAUUGCAAAUAAUUAUUUUACUGCUAAAAAUUGUCUACAGAUUUUCUUCUCAAUACUUAUUGUUUUAUUGAGUAAAAUGCACCUUUUUAAA